rnacentral:rRNA from 1 species
CGGACGGGUGAGUAAUGUCUGGGAAACUGCCCGAUGGAGGGGGAUAACUACUGGAAACGGUAGCUAAUACCGCAUAACGUCGCAAGACCAAAGAGGGGACCUUAGGGCCUCCUGCCAUCGGAUGUGCCCAGAUGGGAUUAGCUAGUAGGUGGGGUAAUGGCUCACCUAGGCGACGAUCCCUAGCUGGUCUGAGAGGAUGACCAGCCACACUGGAACUGAGACACGGUCCAG